GACGAACGCUGGCGGCGUGCUUAACACAUGCAAGUCGAACGGAGUGGCGAACGGGUGAGUAACACGUGGGUGACCUGCACUGCACUUCGGGAUAAGCCUGGGAAACUGGGUCUAAUACCGGAUAGUGUGGGAUGGGCACGCGGCCUAUCAGCUUGUUGGGGGGGUAAUGGCCUACCAAGGCGGCGACGGGUAGCCGGCCUGAGAGGGUGGACGGCCACAGUGGGACUGAGAGACGGCCCAGAGUCGUACGGGAGGCAGCAGUGGGGAAUAGUGCACAAUGUGCGGAAGCCGGAUGCAGCGACGCGGCGUUGGGGAUGACGGCCUUCGGGUUGUAAACUCCGUACACCAUCAACGAGGUAGAUGGAGAAGAAGCACCGACUAACUACGUGCCAGCCGCCGCGGUAAUUC
rnacentral:rRNA from 1 species